UACGAAGGGGGCUAGCGUUGCUCGGAAUCACUGGGCGUAAAGCGCACGUAGGCGGCUUUCUAAGUCAGGGGUGAAAUCCUGGAGCUCAACUCCAGAACUGCCUUUGAUACUGGAGUGCUUGAGUCCGGGAGAGGUGAGUGGAACUCCGAGUGUAGAGGUGAAAUUCGUAGAUAUUCGGAAGAACACCAGUGGCGAAGGCGGCUCACUGGCCCGGUACUGACGCUGAUGUGCGAAAGCGUGGGGAGCAAACAGGAU
rnacentral:rRNA from 1 species